UGUUUGCUGCAUUGUUUUUCUUCAAAUUAUGAACUCUGCCCUCUUUCAGUGUUAGAGACUAUUAGGACUUGGUAUAUAUUGAUCUUUCCCCAGGUCUGUCCCUUCUCAGUUACAAUUCUAUGUUUCAAUGGGUGAGCUCCAUUUCUGUACAUAUUUUAGAAUGAAAUUUUGUUAGCCAUUUGAAAGUACCUCCCGGAACCAAAUGCCUCUGCAAUGAUUUGUUCCUAUGAACACUUCAAAGUGUGAUAAAAUGUAGACAUAUUUUACAAAACCCUGCUAUUUCAGAGAUGUGUCUAACUCAGACAUAGGGAUCAAAGAGACUUGUUCAAAGGUAGCAAUGCUGGGCUGUUGCUGUUCUUGGUUCAUGUAGAAGUCAUGUGCUUUUUGACAUCUGAGGACAAAAGUGAGAUCAGCGCUAAGAAACUCAACUACUCUUCUAAGCAUAUCCAUGAGGCAUUUCCUGCAGUUCUCCCUCUCUCUGCAGCAUCCCCACGGUGGAAAGGAAGAUAAAUGAGCUUGUGGGUUCCUUGAUUCUUAGGUGUAGGAGUUGCAGCGAUCAGGGUUGCACACCUUAACAUCAGUUGCCUUCUGAAUCUUGGCCUACUAUAUACUUUUGCAACAGUCUCCAUAUGCUGCAAAACGAGGCUAUUUUAAAAUCAGAUCUUUUAGCUCUCACAGGGAGUAGCUGGACCUGGUGACUGGAGCCAGACACCGAUGAUGCGUCAGGAGUCUCCCAUCUUGGAUGAAAGACACUAAAGCAGACAAAGAGCCGUAACAUACAAUACACAUAUAUCCUACAGAUGCUUGCAGAAUAUAGUAGUCCUGGGUCAUUGGUUCAGGAAACUUCCAAGCAGAGGAUUAGAUUAGACAAGUCCAGCUUUUCAGUUGUGAGGAUUAGAUUUUUCCCAUUUGAGUGUGACUGCCAUUGUAGUCGGUGGUGGCUUCGAGGGGGCACUGAGUUCAUAACCCAUGUGUCAAGCCUGAAAAAGGAGACUCAGCUUUUGAGAAAGCAGAGCGAUGAUAAGAUAAUUGAAAUGAAAACGAAGCCACGCAGUUUAACUUCGCCGUUCUCUUACGUUUAAGCUGAUCAAGACUGAGAAUAUGUUUGAUAAGGACACACAAGUGGCCUGGGAACCCUUUCUAUUCUAAUCAUCACACAUUAUAGAGACUGCUGUGACCUGAGAACAACCCAGCCUACCCAGAUUGUAAAGGAGCUGUUUUACCAAGGCCAAAAGCGUCAAGCAAGACUGCAGGGUAAUUAGCCCCUUUGAUAUACUCUUGAACAAAUUGACAGCUCAGAAAGCUGGGAGUGUUUACUAAUGACGAGGACCCAACUGCCCCAUAAAACUAGAGAAGUGGUGUUUGUUGUCUAUAUCAAGAACUGGAAAUGAAAAUUUUAAUGACACAGGAAAUGCUCUUCAAAGGCCAAGAAGUCUCAGGGAGAGAUAAGAGGAUCAAUCAGUCUUAAAAAGGAGUUUCCUAAGAGUAAGAGAAGCGAUGUUAUAAGCGUGGAUGUGUAUUUCAAAAGGAUGAAUAAAACCCAGAAAUGGUGCUAAUUUUACUUUGAAGUAUAUAAUGAAACUCCUCAAGCAUCCAGACUUCGACACCCCUUUCUCAAAAUGACCAAAAUUUCCAUUUUUGAGCAUUUAUCUUUCUGCCUUUUUUCCGUUCCCUGAGUCUUAACAGAAUUUUAAAGGAGCAGCUAAUAGAUGAAGUAUACUUCAGUUUCAUGUAAUGGAUUGGAUCAGAAGGGAACUGAUAAGAUGAUAUUGGAAAAGCACGUAGGGGGUUGAAGAACUGCAGAGCACUGAGCUGUAUGGGUCCAGUUGAUUCCCGGUAAGCAGACCUGCAGUCCCAGGGCUAUUCUGGGUAAUGGGAGGAAAGGACUCUGCUCUCAUCAGCGUGCUCUCCUCUCCGGGGACUGGUUACCGCCUGGUCCAGAGGUGAUCAGGGGGAGAUAAGGCCAAUUAAGA
rnacentral:sRNA from 1 species